UGCUCCUGAUGUUAGCGGCGGACGGGUGAGUAACACGUGGGUAACCUGCCUGUAAGACUGGGAUAACUCCGGGAAACCGGGGCUAAUACCGGAUGGUUGUCUGAACCGCAUGGUUCAGACAUAAAAGGUGGCUUCGGCUACCACUUACAGAUGGACCCGCGGCGCAUAGCUAGUUGGUGAGGUAACGGCUCACCAAGGCGACGAUGCGUAGCCGACCUGAGAGGGUGAUCGGCCACACUGGGACUGAGACACGGCCCAGACUCCUACGGGAGGCAGCAGUAGGGAAUCUUCCGCAAUGGACGAAAGUCUGACGGAGCAACGCCGCGUGAGUGAUGAAGGUUUUCGGAUCGUAAAGCUCUGUUGUUAGGGAAGAACAAGUGCCGUUCAAAUAGGGCGGCACCUUGACGGUACCUAACCAGAAAGCCACGGCUAACUACGUGCCAGCAGCCGCGGUAAUACGUAGGUGGCAAGCGUUGUCCGGAAUUAUUGGGCGUAAAGGGCUCGCAGGCGGUUUCUUAAGUCUGAUGUGAAAGCCCCCGGCUCAACCGGGGAGGGUCAUUGGAAACUGGGGAACUUGAGUGCAGAAGAGGAGAGUGGAAUUCCACGUGUAGCGGUGAAAUGCGUAGAGAUGUGGAGGAACACCAGUGGCGAAGGCGACUCUCUGGUCUGUAACUGACGCUGAGGAGCGAAAGCGUGGGGAGCGAACAGGAUUAGAUACCCUGGUAGUCCACGCCGUAAACGAUGAGUGCUAAGUGUUAGGGGGUUUCCGCCCCUUAGUGCUGCAGCUAACGCAUUAAGCACUCCGCCUGGGGAGUACGGUCGCAAGACUGAAACUCAAAGGAAUUGACGGGGGCCCGCACAAGCGGUGGAGCAUGUGGUUUAAUUCGAAGCAACGCGAAGAACCUUACCAGGUCUUGACAUCCUCUGACAAUCCUAGAGAUAGGACGUCCCCUUCGGGGGCAGAGUGACAGGUGGUGCAUGGUGUCGUCA
rnacentral:rRNA from 1 species